rnacentral:rRNA from 1 species
GACGCAGUAGGAUAGGCGAAGCGUGCUGUUGGAGUGCACGUCCAAGCAGUGAGAUUGAGUGUUAGGCAAAUCCGGCACUCUUAAGAUUGAGCUGUGAUGGGGAGAGGAACUUGUUCCUCGAGUCGUUGAUUUCACACUGCCGAGAAAAGCCUCUAGCUAGAAUAACGGUGCCCGUACCGCAAACCGACACAGGUAGUCAAGAUGAGAAUUCUAAGGUGAGCGAGCGAACUCUCGUUAAGGAACUCGGCAAAAUGACCCCGUAACUUCGGGAGAAGGGGUGCUCUUUGAGGUUCACGCUUCGAAGAGCCGCAGUGAAUAGGCCCAAGCGACUGUUUAUCAAAAACACAGGUCUCUGCUAAACCGUAAGGUGACGUAUAGGGGCUGACGCCUGCCCGGUGCUGGAAGGUUAAGAGGAGUGGUUAGCGCAAGCGAAGCUACGAAUCGAAGCCCCAGUAAACGGCGGCCGUAACUAUAACGGUCCUAAGGUAGCGAAAUUCCUUGUCGGGUAAGUUCCGACCCGCACGAAAGGCGUAACGAUUUGGGCACUGUCUCAACGAGAGACUCGGUGAAAUCAUAGUACCGGUGAAGAUGCCGGUUACCCGCGACAGGACGGAAAGACCCCGUGGAGCUUUACUGUAGCCUGAUAUUGAAAUUCGGUACAGUUUGUACAGGAUAGGUAGGAGCCUUAGAAGCGUGAGCGCUAGCUUACGUGGAGGCAUUGGUGGGAUACUACCCUAAUUGUAUUGGAUUUCUAACCCGCAGCACUUAUCGUGCUGGGAGACAGUGUCAGGCGGGCAGUUUGACUGGGGCGGUCGCCUCCUAAAGAGUAACGGAGGCGCUCAAAGGUUCCCUCAGAAUGGUUGGAAAUCAUUCAUAGAGUGUAAAGGCAUAAGGGAGCUUGACUGCGAGACCUACAAGUCGAGCAGGGUCGAAAGACGGACUUAGUGAUCCGGUGGUUCCGCAUGGAAGGGCCAUCGCUCAACGGAUAAAAGCUACCCCGGGGAUAACAGGCUUAUCUCCCCCAAGAGUUCACAUCGACGGGGAGGUUUGGCACCUCGAUGUCGGCUCAUCGCAUCCUGGGGCUGUAGUCGGUCCCAAGGGUUGGGCUGUUCGCCCAUUAAAGCGGUACGCGAGCUGGGUUCAGAACGUCGUGAGACAGUUCGGUCCCUAUCCGUCGUGGGCGUAGGAAAUUUGAGAGGAGCUGUCCUUAGUACGAGAGGACCGGGAUGGACAUACCUCUGGUGUACCAGUUGUCGUGCCAACGGCAUAGCUGGGUAGCUAUGUAUGGACGGGAUAAGUGCUGAAAGCAUCUAAGCAUGAAGCCCCCCUCGAGAUGAGAUUUCCCAACUUCGGUUAUAAGAUCCCUCAA